AACGAACGCUGGCGGCAGGCCUAACACAUGCAAGUCGAGCGAUGAAGUUUCUUCGGAAAUGAAUUAGCGGCGGACGGGUUAGUAACGCGUGGGAAUAUGCCCAAAGGUACGGAACAACAGUUAGAAAUGACUGCUAAUACCGUAUGUGCCCUUCGGGGGAAAGAUUUAUCGCCUUUGGAUUGGCCCGCGUUGGAUUAGGUAGUUGGUGUGGUCAAAGCGCACCAAGCCGACGAUCCAUAGCUGGUUUGAGAGGAUGAUCAGCAACACUGGGACUGAGACACGGCCCAG
rnacentral:rRNA from 1 species